rnacentral:rRNA from 2 species
CUACGGGAGGCAGCAGUGGGGAAUAUUGGACAAUGGGGGGAACCCUGAUCCAGCAAUGCCGCGUGUGUGAAGAAGGUCUUCGGAUUGUAAAGCACUUUCACUAGGGAAGAUGAUGACGGUACCUAGAGAAGAAGCCCCGGCUAACUUCGUGCCAGCAGCCGCGGUAAUACGAAGGGGGCUAGCGUUGCUCGGAAUGACUGGGCGUAAAGGGCGCGUAGGCUGUUUGUACAGUCAGAUGUGAAAUCCCCGGGCUUAACCUGGGAACUGCAUUUGAUACGUGCAGACUAGAGUCCGAGAGAGGGUUGUGGAAUUCCCAGUGUAGAGGUGAAAUUCGUAGAUAUUGGGAAGAACACCGGUUGCGAAGGCGGCAACCUGGCUCGGAACUGACGCUGAGGCGCGAAAGCGUGGGGAGCGAACAGGAUUAGAUACCCUGGUAGUCCACGCUGUAAACGAUGUGUGCUGGAUGUUGGGUGAUUUUAUCAUUCAGUGUCGGAGCUAACGCGUUAAGCACACCGCCUGGGGAGUACGGCCGCAAGGUUGAAACUCAAAGGAAUUGACGGGGGCCCGCACAAGCGGUG